rnacentral:lncRNA from 1 species
CAGGACCACGCAUGCACGAUGCAUUGCCGAUAGCAGGAGGUGCCACGCGUUUACCCCGUUGUCGGUCUGCCCUGUCAACGAGACGCAUUUGGCAUGUCGAUGCGGCUGAAGCAAUGCUGGUCGUGGGGAAAGGGUCGGUGAAGACCAAAACCAAUUCUUUCCAUUUUUCGGUAGAUUCCGAGCUCGCCGGCAUUGGACUGAGGAAACCGAUAAAAGCGCAAGAGUUGCGCUGUCGUCGAUGACCUGUGCUGGCGGUUGGAGUGGACAGCGGCUGCUGUGGUAAUACGCGCCAGUGGGUUGCGCGACCAGAGGAUCGCGCGCCCGGUGGGUCGCGCGCUCGGUGGGUCGCGCGACCAGUGGAUCCCGCGCCCGUGGGUCGCGCGCCCGAGGGGUCACGCGACGGUGGGUCGCGCAC